rnacentral:rRNA from 1 species
GGAUUAGAUACCCUGGUAGUCCACGCCCUAAACGAUGUGUGCUAGACGUCGGGAGGCUUGCCUCUCGGUGUCGGAGCUAACGUGUUAAGCACACCGCCUGGGGAGUACGGUCGCAAGAUUAAAACUCAAAGGAAUUGACGGGGGCCCGCACAAGCGGUGGAGCAUGUGGUUUAAUUCGACGCAACGCGCAGAACCUUACCAGCCCUUGACAUGGUGAUUACGGUUCCGAGAGAUCGGUUCUUUCCUUCGGGAGAUCAUCACAGGUGCUGCAUGGCUGUCGUCAGCUCGUGCUG